rnacentral:snoRNA from 1 species
UUCAUAUGAUGACUUGCCAUGCUAAUAUUGAGAAAGCUUUAGGCUUUGCUGAGUAUAAAAAGUUUUAAUCUGAUGAAC